GCGGGUCGCUCUCACUUGUCCCUGGACCGCAGCCGCCGCAUAAGUGGUGGCCAACGCUGGGCCUGGGUGUGGCCGGAAGCAGAGGCCGCUCUGACUACACACCCACCCCCCAAAGGCUUCUGGGAGUCGCGCAGGCGCAGCGGCAGACCGGGUCUCCUGGCCUCAGUGAUGGAAUUAAGAUGACUUCUAUCUCUGAAUCCAAGGGUGACUGAAAGCCGCAAGCUGCAGAAAGGACAAGAGGCAUCACCUAUGUGGAUAAAGACAGCAUCCUGAGUUGAUGGAGAAAUGGCAUAGAAGGAACCAGGUCCUUUGAUGACAUCAUGGAGCAAAGCUGUCUUCUUGCCUUGACCUGCUACCUACCUACAUGGGAAGCUGUUACUUGAGAAGGCAAUAAAAUCUAUCUUCUUUAUUGA
rnacentral:lncRNA from 1 species